rnacentral:rRNA from 1 species
UACGUAGGGCGCAAGCGUUGUCCGGAAUUACUGGGCGUAAAGGGCUCGUAGGCGGCCAACUAAGUCAGACGUGAAAUCCCUCGGCUUAACCGGGGAACUGCGUCUGAUACUGGAUGGCUUGAAUCCGGGAGAGGGAUGCGGAAUUCCAGGUGUAGCGGUGAAAUGCGUAGAUAUCUGGAGGAACACCGGUGGCGAAGGCGGCAUCCUGGACCGGCAUUGACGCUGAGGAGCGAAAGCCAGGGGAGCAAACGGG